rnacentral:rRNA from 1 species
AACGAACGCUGGCGGCAUGCCUAACACAUGCAAGUCGAACGAGACCUUCGGGUCUAGCGGCGCACGGGUGCGUAACGCGUGGGAACCUGCCUUUAGGUUCGGAAUAACUCCCCGAAAGGGGUGCUAAUACCGAAUAAUGUCUUCGGACCAAAGAUUUAUCGCCUUUAGAUGGGCCCGCGUUGGAUUAGCUAGUUGGUGGGGUAAAGGCCUACCAAGGCGACGAUCCAUAGCUGGUCUUAGAGGAUGAUCAGCCACACUGGGACUGAGACACGGCCCAGACUCCUACGGGAGGCAGCAGUGGGGAAUAUUGGACAAUGGGCGAAAGCCUGAUCCAGCAAUGCCGCGUGAGUGAUGAAGGCCCUAGGGUUGUAAAGCUCUUUUACCAGGGAUGAUAAUGACAGUACCUGGAGAAUAAGCUCCGGCUAACUCCGUGCCAGCCGCCGCCGUAAGAC